UUUUUUGAGAGUUUGAUCCUGGCUCAGGAUGAACGCUGGCGGCGUGCCUUAAGCAUGCAAGUCGAACGGAGAUUGUGCUUAGCACUAAGGUAAUUAGUGUUUUGUUGCUCUUCUUUAAAACUUGUUAUGCCAAAGCACCAUAUAGUCAGUUAAACUAUGAAUUUUGGCGUAACGAGUGGUAAGUUGAGCAACGAUUAAUUAUUUUCGUGCUAAGCAUGAAAUCAGUGGCGGACGGGUGAGUAUAAGCAAGGAACGUACCCUUUACUGUGGCAUAGCUCGUCGAAAGACGGGGUAACACCGCAUGACCCCGACGGUAACACGUCGGGGAAAACGCUUAACCGCGUGGUAAAGGAGCGGCCUUGUGGCUAUCAGCUAGUUGGUGGGGUAAAGGCCUACCAAGGCGACGACGGCUAGGGGGCGUGAGAGCGCGACCCCCCACAAUGGCACUGAGAUACGGGCCAUACAU
rnacentral:ncRNA from 1 species